rnacentral:rRNA from 1 species
ACUCAAAGGAAUAGACGGGGACCCGCACAAGCAGUGGAGCAUGUGGUUUAAUUCGAUGCAACGCGAAGAACCUUACCCAGGCUUGACAUGCAGUGGACCGCACUAGAAAUAGUGCUUUCCUUAGGGACCGCUGCACAGGUGCUGCAUGGCUGUCGUCAGCUCGUGCCGUGAGGUGUUGGGUUAAGUCCCGCAACGAGCGCAACCCUUAUUGCUAGUUGCCACCAUUAUGGAUGGGAACUCUAGCGAGACUGCCCGGGUUAACCGGGAGGAAGGUGAGGAUGAUGUCAAGUCCGCAUGGCCCUUAUGUCUGGGGCUACACACGUGCUACAAUGGCCGGUACAGAAGGCAGCGAAACCGCGAGGUGGAGCAAAUCCCGAAAGCCGGUCUCAGUUCAGAUUGUAGUCUGCAACUCGGCUACAUGAAGUCGGAAUUGCUAGUAAUGGCGUGUCAGCAACAACGCCGUGAAUACGUUCCCGGGUCUUGCACACACCGCCCGU